UAUCAUCAAGAAUUGACUGAAGUAUACAAAUAAUUCAAAUUUAGAUGGGUUUAAAACUUUUGACUGCUAUCUUAAGGAGGCAGUCUACAGUUUUUCAGCCUUAUCUGCGCAUUGGCCCCGGUCAAUUUCCUGAAUUUAAGGUGUAUGGCCUAAAAGAAAUUGUUUUUUGACUCCAGGAGCUGAAAUGUAAGUAUAAAUGGUCAAUAUUCUAGUAAUUUCACAUGUUUUCAGUCAUUCGAAACUAAGUGACCUGAAUUUUAGUCAACAACAACAACAUGCUGAGUGAGAAGUAAACACAUGUACUUUCUGCUUGAAACUGCCGGCAUUUGACAGAUUUCAACGGUUGUGACUGAAGGCCUUGUUUUGAGGGUGUUUUGCAGACCAGUGCUUGUCGGCCUGGGGAUUUUCCAGAAAACUGUAGACUGCCCCCUUAAGAUUCAUCUGUGCUUAAGACCCUGUGACUCAUGGCCGCUGCUUUUUUUUCGAGUUUUCCCCCGGAUCAGCUUGUAGUGAAACUGGAAGCUGUUCUGGGUGAAAAGAGUGAGUUGGUUGGUCUGUGUUGCCUGUGGACUGGUGAAACAGAUAGGUACGGCUAUGGUGUGCACCGUGUUGUUGUAUCGGGCAAGCGCAUCAAGCUAAAAGUCCACCGUCUCAAGUACUAUCUGUGUGAUCCCGGACACAGUGCACUGCAGCGCAAUUUCCAUAUCUCACACCUCUGCCACAAUAAGCUAUGCAUUAAUAUAAAGCAUUUAUCGUAUGAGCCAGUAACUGUUAAUAAUUCCCGCAACGUGUGCCUUACAAAUGGUCAAUGCUCGGGUCACAGGGGCUUCAGUGAAUGCUGUCUGUGGUCUGCGGUGGACGUCUGAGAGUGUAUGCCAGAGUGUCUGCCUGUGCUAACCCUGCUGUGGUUCUGACGAAUUGACUGUCCCAGGCUUCCUUGUCUGUCAGCCGUACCAGUCGUUUAGAAGCUUUCGGCGCCUCGGAACUUGCACUGGAAACUCCAGGUUGUGACUGAAGGCCUUGUUUUGAGGGUGUUUUGCAAACCAGUGCUUGUCGGCCUGGGGAUUUUCCAGAAAAACUGUAGACUGCCCCCUUAGUUAACGCAAGUUGUUGUUGUUCUUAUUUAACCAAACGUGAGAAAUGAAAUGUUUUUUUUCCAUCCAGUUUGGCUGUUAUUGAGGGCGGAGAUCUAAUCGACAGAACAGCCGAAAGCUAUUUUUUAUGGGCGGAGCUUCACAUAAAAUAGUAUGCAAGAAAAAAAAGAUACAUUCUAUAAAUCAUUACUAAAAAUCGUGUUAGAAUCGAAAUAAUUCGUGUACGUUAUAGUUUGUUGUCGAAUAACCCACGGCCGGAAGUUUAGAUGCGUGGUUUCAAAUCACUCGUGCUUCUCACUCGUGAUUUAAUCCCUACGCAUCUAAACUUCCGGCCGUGGGCUAUUUGACAACAAACUAUAACGUACACGAAUUAUUUCUUAAAUAUACCACAUGCCUCGUGUAAUAACUUGAAAUUGUGUACUGGUCGUGUACGCCUGGCUUAAAUGAACAUAUUAUUCUACAAUACAGAAUUUUAUUGUUAAAUAUAUCACAUGCCUCAUGUAAUAACUUGAAAUUUCGUACUGUCGUGUACACCUUGUUAAAAGGUAUAAAAAAUGCGUCAUGUAAUAACUAGAAAUUUCGAACUGGUCGCCUGGCUUAAAUAAAAAUAUAAUUCUACAAUAAAGAAUGUUAUUGUUAAAUAUACCACAUGCAUCAUGUUAUAACUAGAAAUUUCAUACUGGUCGUGUACGCCUUGUUUAAAUGUAUAUAUAAUUUUAAAAAAAGAAUGUUAUUGUUAAAUAUACCACAUGCCUUAUGUCAUGACUUGAAAUUUCGUACUGGUCGUGUACGCCUUGUUUAAAUGUAUAUAUUUUAAAUUCUACAAUAAAGAAUGUUAUUGUUAAAUAUACCAUAUGCAUCAUGUAAUCACUUACAAUUAAACCUUUGCUUAUUCAUAACUGGGUGAACUAUAAAUACUGUGUUAUCAUGAUGGCUGUUUACCGUUCUGUGUGUUUUAUUGUCGAAUCGAUAUAAGCUGUAUUUAUUUCCUUGCAAAUAAUGUUGCACUUUGUGUCAAAAGAUUUGUUUUUAGACAUCAACUAAAUAUAAUCGAUAGGUAAUUGCCUUCUAAUACAUAGUGCUUUAAUGGUUCAAUAACGGAUUUCCUUUUUGUAGUUCCUUUACGCAUUUGUUUUACUUUAUUUAUGUUGCAUGUCUUAAUGAUAACUUUUUUUGCUUUUGUUGAUGUUGUCCCGUCAUUAUUUGGUGUUGCAAUUUUUCUUUUUCUUUUUUCUUACCAUUACGAAAUAUUGCUGAUAAAUAACUGAUUUUAAUGUAUCUUUAUUAACCUGUAUUAAUCUUUUUUAAGCAUAAUUUUGUCUUGUCUUUGAAUCUAAACUUUGAAUCCUUUUUGUAACAAAAAAGUAUUGAAGAAUUUUCACCAGACUAUUACUAAUGUGGGACGUCUAGUAUUUUCGUGUAUUUUUUAUGUAACGUUCGCUUUCGUUAACUGUAAAAAGAUAUCCUUAUAUAAUCGCUUGUAACAGCCGAGAAGCUGAUAAAACUCAAAAGAUCACCUUCCCCCCUCACAAAUUUAUUAUAGUUUUUCUUUGACGGAUUUCCCAAUGUUUCAUGAAACUGUGUACUUACACAAUUUAUAUAUGCUCACCUGUUGUCACGUUACAUGUAUGUUCAUUGUAUUAUGUGACCUGUGAAACAUAAUAAAGAUUUGUUUUGUUCUGUCUCGCAAACUGUAUAAUGAAUUAAAUUUGCAUGCUCUGUAAAGAGGGACCAUAAAUCCAAUUAAAAUAAUACUUGUUAAAUAAAAAGGAAAAAUGUACAUUUCUGAA